ACUCCUACGGGAGGCAGCAGUAGGGAAUCUUCCACAAUGGGCGCAAGCCUGAUGGAGCAACACCGCGUGAGUGAAGAAGGGUUUCGGCUCGUAAAGCUCUGUUGUUAAAGAAGAACACGUAUGAGAGUAACUGUUCAUACGUUGACGGUAUUUAACCAGAAAGUCACGGCUAACUACGUGCCAGCAGCCGCGGUAAUACGUAGGUGGCAAGCGUUAUCCGGAUUUAUUGGGCGUAAAGAGAGUGCAGGCGGUUUUCUAAGUCUGAUGUGAAAGCCUUCGGCUUAACCGGAGAAGUGCAUCGGAAACUGGAUAACUUGAGUGCAGAAGAGGGUAGUGGAACUCCAUGUGUAGCGGUGGAAUGCGUAGAUAUAUGGAAGAACACCAGUGGCGAAGCGGCUACCUGGUCUGCAACUGACGCUGAGACUCGAAAGCA
rnacentral:rRNA from 1 species